rnacentral:rRNA from 1 species
GUGGGGAAUCUUAGACAAUGGGGGAAACCCUGAUCUAGCCAUGCCGCGUGAGCGAUGAAGGCCUUAGGGUUGUAAAGCUCUUUCAGCUGGGAAGAUAAUGACUGUACCAGCAGAAGAAGCCCCGGCUAACUCCGUGCCAGCAGCCGCGGUAAUACGGAGGGGGCUAGCGUUGUUCGGAAUUACUGGGCGUAAAGCGCACGUAGGCGGACUGGAAAGUCAGAGGUGAAAUCCCAGGGCUCAACCUUGGAACUGCCUUUGAAACUCCCAGUCUUGAGGUCGAGAGAGGUGAGUGGAAUUCCGAGUGUAGAGGUGAAAUUCGUAGAUAUUCGGAAGAACACCAGUGGCGAAGGCGACACACUGGCCCGUUACUGACGCUGAGGCGCGAAAGCGUGGGGAGCAAACAGGAUUAGAUACCCGAGUAGUCC